rnacentral:rRNA from 1 species
AUGAUAGCUGUUUCUCCUGAGGAUAGUAGCGAGUUAAUCCUAGCAACCCAUUUGGGUGGGAAGCCCAUGUGGAUUAAGAGUUGUAGGAGGGGUUUCCCAAGCGAUGGAGUCGAAAGCUUUGCGGAAAUCAAGUUUGAAGAUCAUCGUCGUGGCUUUACUAGAAUGACAACAAUUGAGCAGGUCAGCCGCAUAGAUAAAGUUUUCCGCAAUGGAGCGCACAUUUAUGAACUCUGUUUGGUCGUCCUGAAUAAGGAGCGGUAUCAGGGGUUUCAGUCUAUUUGUGAGGAGCUUGGCAAUGGCUUUUGGAGGGCAAUUCUGAAGGGGGAUGGGCCAGAAAUCAUUUUGCUGAUCUGGCUACACUAUCUUUCGGAUGGAGGACCAUGA